rnacentral:rRNA from 1 species
UACGGGGGGGGCAAGCGUUGUUCGGAAUUACUGGGCGUAAAGCGUGCGUAGACGGUUAUUUAAGUCGGGUGUGAAAGCCCCGGGCUCAACCUGGGAAUUGCAUUCGAGACUGAAUAGCUAGGGUACGGUAGAGGGAAGUGGAAUUUCCGGUGUAGCGGUGAAAUGCGUAGAUAUUCGGAAGAACACCAGUGGCGAAGGCGACUUACUGGACACAUAUUGACGCUGAGGUGCGAAAGCGUGGGGAGCAAACAGG